rnacentral:ncRNA from 1 species
CUUUACUAUCAGCUUUGGCCCAAUUUAUACAUGCAAGUAUCCGCACUCCCGUGAGAAUGCCCUCAAUCCCCCGCCCGGGGACGAGGAGCAGGCAUCAGGCACAUCACCUUAUAGCCCAGGACGCCUUGCUACGCCACUCCCCCAAGGGAUUUCAGCAGUAACAGACAUUAAGCAAUGAGCGCCAAGCUCGACUUAGUUAUGGCCAUGAGGGUCGGUAAAAUUCGUGCCAGCCACCGCGGUUAUACGAAAGACCCUAGUUGACAGAUGUCGGCGUAAAGGGUGGUUAAGGGUUUUAAAAAAUAAAGCUAAAGAUCCUCUAGGCUGUCAUACGCUCUCCGAAGAAACGAAACCCCAAGACGAAAGUAGCUUUAAACAAACCCCUGACACCACGAAAGCUGAGAAACAAACUGGGAUUAGAUACCCCACUAUGCUCAGCCUUAAACCUAGAUGUACUCUUACACAUACAUCCGCCGGGGUACUACGAGCACAGCUUAAAACCCAAAGGACUUGGCGGUGUCUCAGACCCACCUAGAGGAGCCUGUUCUAGAACCGAUAACCCUCGUUAAACCUCACCACUCCUUGUCUUCCCCGCCUAUAUACCGCCGUCGUCAGCUUACCCUGUGAAGGCCUAAUAGUAAGCAAAAUGGGCACACCCAAAAACGUCAGGUCGAGGUGUAGCGUACGGAGUGGGAAGAAAUGGGCUACAUUUUCUACUUUAAAGAAUAUUACGGACGGUACCAUGAAAUAGAUACCUGAAGGUGGAUUUAGCAGUAAAAAGAAAACAGAGUGUACUUUUGAAUUAGGCUCUGAGACGCGCACACACCGCCCGUCACUCUCCCCUCAAACACCCAACAACCCAACAUAACUAAUAACACAAACACUAACGUCGGGGAGGCAAGUCGUAACAUGGUAAGUGUACCGGAAGGUGCACUUGGAAUAAU